UUAUAUCAGUUAAAAAAGAAAGGAGAAAGGAAUUUAACCAUUUCAUUUGCAACAAUUUAAUGCAUCCGAUUGACGUUGGCUCGUCACCGUGAUUCGCGUUGCUCGCAUUUCAAAUGAAUAUAUACAAGGGUCGUUACACUGUGCGUAACCGGCCAGUAUAUUUGAUCGUAGUAAACAACCACGUGGCAAUCAAGGAGAUUCGAAUUGCGCUGGCGCAACAAUUAUUGUCACAAUGAGAACUACGUGAAAUGUUAGUUAGAUGACCGACUAUAAAUAACCAUACAAAAGCAGAAUAUUUUGCGAAUAAAGCAGAAAAGUACACCAUUCUUUAAUGCUAGAUGUCUGCUCGAACAAUCGACAACGCGCGUGUAUAACGCGAUACGAGGUAAAAUGUUAACUUCUAAUUUCGAGUAAUUUUACUAUUUGCGUUCAAAUAUAGGCGGACUAGGCGUUUUUAACAUGAAAAUUUUAUCAACGGUAUAGUGUAUUUUGUUUCUCGUUGCCAACUUAUCGUUGCUUGGGCAGAUUUUGUUUGUGUCACGUAAUUAGACGUUUGAAGAGUCAUGAGUCAGUACGACUGAUUAUGGCAAACACGAUGAUAGUUUCAGACAAUAAAACUGUCGUUAUUCGAUCCUAUUAUUGGUGCGGUAUUUCACAAUGGUAUAUUUUCUCGUUCUUGACGCGACGUAGAAAUAAAAAUUCACCACGGUUCUUUUAUAUUUUUACGUAUCGUGUCUACGUGGUUUAUAAAUCAAAUUUCUCUGUUCGAUCAAAAAGCUAUAAAUACAAACUUACGACGUAACGAUAAUUUGCAAAUUAAAUUUUCCUGCUUGAUUAGAUCUGAAUGUUGAAUCGAAACAAGUUGGAAUAAACGGACUAUAAAUCACGGUAGAAGGAACACAAUUGCUUGGAUCGUCCGAUCGUGAGUACUCGCAGAGUCGAUAGAGGAGUUCAGGAUAUUUACAUUCGAUAUACGAUCAUGAUCGAUCGGAUGCCGGUAAUCACGGCACGCUUGGAAUAAAAUAUGUAAGGAAUGUACGUGUAUAACGAGCUGUCUUCGGUGCAAAUGUCAACAUAUAACCAGCAAAACAGCUUUCGAGGAAUGGUUUAUAAAACGGUAGAUCGAAAGCUACGCGUUUAGACAGCAAUGACGUUGGAAACUCGGUUUUACGAUCUAUUUCUUUUUUUCUUUUUUUUUUUUUUUUAUCUUGAAUCGCAUUUGCGAUACAUUUAUGCGUUGUUCGAUAUCGAUAACAAAAUCUAUAGUCGAAAUUCUAAAACUGAUCCGUCAACGUAAGAGUACACAAAUCGUAUUCAAAAUUUUAAUGAGCGAAUAAACAUAUGUUAAUUCGGCACGAUACUUUCAGCGAUGAAUUUCAAUUAUCAACUGUUCUGUAGAGAAUGGAACGGAUAAUUACUAUGGAUUUUUAAUAUUUUACUAUGUGUUUUUAAUCGCUGUAGAUUUUAAGAUAAAGGUUAUCUUUCUUGCAUAAAGUACCGGCGCGUAUAAUCGAUCGAUGCCUCUAUAUCAAUAUCGGUGAUUAAAUCGACAUGCAUCUUCGAGGAUUUUGGAACUUUCUUAUUACUCGGAAGCAUUAUAAAUAAUUAUACGAAGUUAUAAGAAACGAGGCUGAUGAUUUUCAUUUUGUUACAACAGAAUAUAUACGGUAGAAUAUAAAGAUCCGAUAAAAUUGAUAUCACUUUUUGUUUUUACUUGAAAACAAAAAGGAAGAGGAGGAGGAGGAGUAUAUUCCUUUGUUUGACAAACGUGUCGAACAAUAAAUCACGCACCUACGCCUUAGCCUUCGGGUAUAUCGUCACAAGAACGAGGAAAAAGAAGCUUGUAACUCGUUUCAUAAGUUUCAAUCGAGCACCGUUCCAGUUUUAACGUUUAACAACGGGAGCCACCAGAUAAGCCAGAUUCACUGCAUAUCCAACCCGAUAAGAGAAUCCGAGAGGAAAAACAGGAUUCAUUCGUAAUUCACAUUUCUAAAUAUUUUAUGUUACACUGGCCUUAUAUACUGGCUACAGAGAGUAUUGGCACAUAUCCUUAUCUUUUAAUAAAUAAAAUUCCAUUUUCAUAGGAAGACAUUUUUUAAAUUAAGAUUUAAUUUUAAUUUAAUUUAGUAUGAAAGUGCUACUAGCUAAACUACUGAUACGAAAUUUAAUAUGUUUUGAAUCUAAUUAAUUAGCGUGUAGAUGCUAUAAUAAAUACAACGGUGUAUCAAUGCUUUCUAUAGUCAGUGCA